AAAAAACGUCGUUAAUGACGGCACAUCUCACUUUUAAGAGAGUAACUGCCGAUACUUAGUUUAUUCGGUUCACUUUGUGUGGAUCUACUUUACGGCGCGUAGGUAAGUGGGACGGCGAUAGGUCAUCAUUUCUGUGGAAGGAGAAAAGGGAGAGAGAGUAAAGCGGAGGAGAAAGCCGUGCAUGCGUGAUCGCGUGUCUGGGAUUCUCUUUCAUCUUUAUCAUCUUUUUUUUUUCCUCUCUCACGCAGGUGCAUUGCGUCACGUCUGGUGGCUGCAUCGUUCUGCUGCCGUGCAUGAUAUCACAGAUUGCCGGCCGCAUUUUGAAGGAAGGCAGAAUGCAAAUGCGCCCACAUUCUUGGAGUGGGCCACAUACUCGGCAUGACUGACAAGGAGUCAAGACUAAUCUGGAGGCCUCUCAUAGCACCUGUGUUUCUUUGGAACGUUAAACCACCAUGACUCUCAAAUUAAACACAUUUCAUGUUGUUUUUCCCUAGAAGCUUGUCAAAGUGAAAUUGAUGGUUUGAUGAUGUCUUGUCGGGUCAGGCAGUAAAAUCAUGUUGCAAGAAAAAAGGAUAACAACCAAAAGCUGUUGUUAAUAAACAUUAGAUGUGCUGGCUUU